CAUGCGGCGCAUUAGCUGGUUGGCGGGGUAACGGCCCACCAAGGCGACGAUGCGUAGGGGUUCUGAGAGGAAGGUCCCCCACACUGGUACUGAGACACGGACCAGACUCCUACGGGAGGCAGCAGUGAGGAAUAUUGGUCAAUGGGCGCGAGCCUGAACCAGCCAAGUCGCGUGAGGGAAGACGGUCCUAUGGAUUGUAAACCUCUUUUGUCGGGGAGCAAAAGACGCCACGCGUGGCGUUCCGAGAGUACCCGAAGAAAAAGCAUCGGCUAACUCCGUGCCAGCAGCCGCGGUAAUACGGAGGAUGCGAGCGUUAUCCGGAUUUAUUGGGUUUAAAGGGUGCGCAGGCGGAAGAUCAAGUCAGCGGUAAAAUUGAGAGGCUCAACCUCUUCGAGCCGUUGAAACUGGUUUUCUUGAGUGAGCGAGAAGUAUGCGGAAUGCGUGGUGUAGCGGUGAAAUGCAUAGAUAUCACGCAGAACUCCGAUUGCGAAGGCAGCAUACCGGCGCUCAACUGACGCUCAUGCACGAAAGUGUGGGUAUCGAACAGGAUUAGAUACCCUGGUAGUCCACACAGU
rnacentral:rRNA from 1 species